rnacentral:lncRNA from 1 species
UAUGAUCAACCGUGAAUUAUCCAUGAGCUGCUUUACACAAGCCUUACGCGUUAAUAUUACCGCCAUGACGCCAUCUUGCAUGUUUGUGCCGGAAGUGCAGCACGGGACGCGGCGGACGCAGUGAAUUGGAGGCUGGAGCGACUGCUGGACGGUGCCAUGGAGGCCACUUUCUCAGAGAGGCGACACCUCAUCGUCAAGAGGAAAAUCCCGAUGGCCACCAUCCGUCGUCGAUGAAAACAAAGUCUGGAAAGAGCUGAGUCGGAUAAAAAAAUGCCGACUUGCAGGACACCAACGAGUUGGAACUCUCCCGGGAAGCCAUGACCCCGAUUGUGGCCAAUGGCGAAGGUGAAAGAGCAGCUGGAUGCCUCACAGAUGACGAUGCGAUCGACCAUCUUCUCUGCACCGUGCUAAAGAGCACCAAGUUGUGUUCACAUCGGCGCCGCAGCCACGGCCUCAUGUGGCGGACGACUUCCACGCCAUAGAGGGCGUGCCAGCAGUGCAGUUUAAGGAGCUAACGGCAAAGGUGAACAAGCUGCUGACGUGGGGGGCCGCGUUCACAGUGUUUGCGCAGUCGUUCAACCGCCCAGCCAUCCGUCUGGCCGGCUACCUGAUGUGUGCCGUGAUCCUGAAGACCGAUGUGUCGCCGCCCCCAAAGCAGUGGGCGGCGAUGACCGGCUGCGUUUAGGAGUGCACGGGGAGGGACAUGAGGCAGCACUUUAGGGACUUUCUGUCUCUUUUUGUGUUUGUGUUUCUGCCAGGUAGUUUUGCAAAGAAAUGGCGUUAACGCUUUUUCAUGCGUGUAGGUCAAGUUCAUGUCUGGAAGGGCAUGAGCGUCGUGCUGUGUUCAUCGCCCUUGUUCAUAUGAUCAAUGAUGUAAUAGUCGUGGUUUAUCUGCAUGCUAUGCAUUGUUUUAAUAAACCUUAUGUUUUAAU